rnacentral:rRNA from 1 species
UACAGAGGUCUCAAGCGUUGUUCGGAUUCAUUGGGCGUAAAGGGUGCGUAGGCGGAUUGUUAAGUCAGGGGUGAAAUCCUGGAGCUCAACUCCAGAACUGCCUUUGAUACUGGCGAUCUUGAGUCCGGGAGAGGUGAGUGGAACUGCGAGUGUAGAGGUGAAAUUCGUAGAUAUUCGCAAGAACACCAGUGGCGAAGGCGGCUCACUGGCCCGGUACUGACGCUGAGGUGCGAAAGCGUGGGGAGCAAACAGGG